rnacentral:lncRNA from 1 species
AACCUGUGGUUGAGCGGGAGCGCAGGACAGGACAGGAGGGUGGGUCAGUGACAGCCUCAAGACAAGUUACUGAGGCGUGCAGCAUGCCACCGGCAACACGAAAUAUACAAGAAUUCGGUAAGCGGCGCCCACUGUCCAGGUGUAGUUGUUACAGCGCAAGGGGAGGCAGUCUCACCUGGACGACCAGGUCGACGACCGACACGGUGGGGGUGGGCACGCGCAGGGCAAUGCCGUUCAGCUUGCCCUUCAGGCUGGGCAGCACCAGCGACACGGCCUUGGCGGCACCGGUGGUGGUGGGCACAAUGUUCAGGGCGGCGGCGCGGGCGCGGCGCAGGUCGCGGUGGGACGCGUCCAGCAGGCGCUGGUCACCGGUGUAGGAGUGGGUGGUGGUCAUCGUGCCCUUGACAAUGCCGAACUUCUGCUCCAGCACCUGGGGUAGGCAAGGGAGAGGGGAAAGGGGAAGGGCCGGGUCAGAGACAGGUGAGCUGACAAGACAAGAUAUCCCAGGGCACUCGGACCCGCAACACCGUGGACGCUCUUGCCGCCCCCCGCAUUUAUUCCUGACGAAAAAGCCACAGCAAGCAACAUGCGUAAGCUUCCUUACCUUGACGAAGGGGGCCAGGCAGUUGGUGGUGCACGAGGCGUUGGAGAUGAUGGGGUACUCGUGCUUGUAGUCGCCCUCGUUCACACCGACCACGAAGGUGGGGAUGUCCUUGUCCUUGGCGGGGGCG